rnacentral:rRNA from 1 species
CAAGACGAUGAUGCAUAGCCGAGUUGAGAGACUGAUCGGCCACAAUGGGACUGAGACACGGCCCAUACUCCUACGGGAGGCAGCAGUAGGGAAUCUUCCACAAUGGGCGAAAGCCUGAUGGAGCAACGCCGCGUGUGUGAUGAAGGGUUUCGGCUCGUAAAACACUGUUGUAAGAGAAGAAUGACAUUGAGAGUAACUGUUCAAUGUGUGACGGUAUCUUACCAGAAAGGAACGGCUAAAUACGUGCCAGCAGCCGCGGUAAUACGUAUGUUCCAAGCGUUAUACGGAUUUAUUGGGCGUAAAGCGAGCGCAGACGGUUAUUUAAGUCUGAAGUGAAAGCCCUCAGCUCAACUGAGGAAUUGCUUUGGAAACUGGAUGACUUGAGUGCAGUAGAGGAAAGUGGAACUCCAUGUGUAGCGGUGAAAUGCGUAGAUAUAUGGAAGAACACCAGUGGCGAAGGCGGCUUUCUGGACUGUAACUGACGUUGAGGCUCGAAAGUGUGGGUAGCAAACAGGAUUAGAUACCCUGGUAGUCCACACCGUAAACGAUGAGUGCUAGGUGUUUGAGGGUUUCCGCCCUUAAGUGCCGCAGCUAACGCAUUAAGCACUCCGCCUGGGGAGUACGACCGCAAGGUUGAAACUCAAAGGAAUUGACGGGGACCCGCACAAGCGGUGGAGCAUGUGGUUUAAUUCGAAGCAACGCGAAGAACCUUACCAGGUCUUGACAUCCCUUGACAACUCCAGAGAUGGAGCGUUCCCUUCGGGGACAAGGUGACAGGUGNGUGCAUGGUUGUCGUCAGCUCGUGUCGUGAGAUGUUGGGUUAAGUCCCGCAACGAGCGCAACCCUUAUUACUAGUUGCCAGCAUUUAGUUGGGCACUCUAGUGAGACUGCCGGUGACAAACCGGAGGAAGGUGGGGAUGACGUCAAAUCAUCAUGCCCCUUAUGACCUGGGCUACACACGUGCUACAAUGGCGUAUACAACGAGUUGCCAACCCGCGAGGGUGAGCUAAUCUCUUAAAGUACGUCUCAGUUCGGAUUGUAGGCUGCAACUCGCCUACAUGAAGUCGGAAUCGCUAGUAAUCGCGGAUCAGCACGCCGCGGUGAAUACGUUCCCGGGUCUUGUACACACCGCCCGUCACACCAUGAGAGUUUGUAACACCCAAAGCCGGUGGGGUAACCUUCGGGAGCCAGCCGUCUAAGGUGGGACAGAUGAUUAGGGUG